UUCCAUCGCUUUUACUCCUGUUCUCCUCCUUCCGUAAAAAAAAAAAAUAUUCUCCAUCUUCACACUUUCACAGAGAAUACUCUUUCAGAUGUGUGAAAAAUAGAUAGCAUAUUUAGUUAGAUUUUUUCAUAUUAUAUACGCUAAAAUCCUCUCCUCUAUCUGGAAUUAGCUAAUUUUGAGUUUUCCUCUAACACCUCUUUGUUUUAAACCUUUUUCCUUUCUGCUAUAUGUAAUGGCAGGGGAAGAUCACCAUUCACCAGAGUAGGGAAAGUAUGUCAAAUACACAUCAGUAUUUCAUAUAAUCAGGCUAGCAAAAUCUAUCGUUUCAGAAUGGAGCGCAUAUAUCUUUGUUGGAUGCUCGAGAUGAGUUAGCUCCAUACAAAAUCGAGCUAAAGGGAAAAUUAGACUAUCUUGAUAUUAUAUUGGUCUCAAAAUCUGUCAUACCCGAUCAAUGAUGGUUGUAGGGAUGACCUUGGUCCGCUAGAGCCUAGAAAGUGAAAAGGCAUCUGAAAGUAGUUUUAUUUUCUAAAGAUCAUUGUUUAUGCGAACUGAUAACUUGGAUACGAUAUUAUUUAUUGUGCUAA